UGGGGAAUAUUGGACAAUGGGCGAAAGCCUGAUCCAGCCAUGCCGUGUGUGUGAAGAAGGUCUUCGGAUUGUAAAGCACUUUAAGUUGGGAGGAAGGGCAGUAAGCGAAUACCUUGCUGUUUUGACGUUACCGACAGAAUAAGCACCGGCUAACUCUGUGCCAGCAGCCGCGGUAAUACAGAGGGUGCAAGCGUUAAUCGGAAUUACUGGGCGUAAAGCGCGCGUAGGUGGUUCGUUAAGUUGAAUGUGAAAGCCCCGGGCUCAACCUGGGAACUGCAUCCAAAACUGGCGAGCUAGAGUAGGGCAGAGGGGGGUGGAAUUUCCUGUGUAGCGGUGAAAUGCGUAGAUAUAGGAAGGAACGCCAGUGGCGAAGGCGACCACCUGGGCUCAUACUGACACUGAGGUGCGAAAGCGUGGGGAGCAAACAGG
rnacentral:rRNA from 1 species